GUUGUUUUUUGGUUUUCUUCCCCAUGAUACAGGGAGUCAGUGCUCCGUCUUUAGUGAGCCGGUAUUUAUCGUCUCUUUUUUUAUAGAUCUAAAAAAUGUUUUAUCCCCCUGUUUUACUGACUGUUCUAUUUUCUCUAUGCCGAUUUCUUCUCUUGGAAUUGAUGUUUUUUUAAGGUGCCUUUAAUAGGCAAUGUUUUGAAUUUUGCUUAAGAUUGAUAAUACCCAGGUGUCGGAGGUAUUUUUGGCCCAGACAGAAUGAAAAUGUAGGAGUCUUCUUAUGAAAUCUGAUUGGGCCUGCAGAUCUUUAGAAUUUUUCUUUUCUUUUUAGGUUCGGGAUCCUCUUCCUCAAAUCAAUUUCGUGUUGAAACUUCUCCAAGAAGAAUUUCUAGACUUAUUCCUUUCCUGGCUGAUAUGUUCUGAUCUUCCAAAAGGACCAUUCACAAAACAUUUUUCUCUCCAUGUGGAUGGAUUUAAAGACCUUUUUUUCUUGCAGUAAGAUUUUCCUAUUCUCAACUGCUUUCUGGCAAUCUUCGUUUUUAUUGAAGCACAGUAUGUAUACAGACAGAGAAUAAACAAUUGUAAAGCUUACAGGCGUCAUGCUUGUUGUCGCACAUACAGCAAUGCUCCCUCCCUAUUUCCCGCCUGUAUUUCCCUACCCAGCCUCUGUGAGUAACUUGAACAACCGAGCGCAACUGCGCAAACUGAACUUUAGAACGUGUUCC